UACGUAGGGCGCAAGCGUUGUCCGGAAUUAUUGGGCGUAAAGAGCUCGUAGGCGGCUUGUCACGUCGGAUGUGAAAGCCCGGGGCUUAACUCCGGGACUGCAUUCGAUACGGGCUGGCUAGAGUGUGGUAGGGGAGAUCGGAAUUCCUGGUGUAGCGGUGAAAUGCGCAGAUAUCAGGAGGAACACCGGUGGCGAAGGCGGAUCUCUGGGCCAUUACUGACGCUGAGGAGCGAAAGCGUGGGGAGCGAACAGG
rnacentral:rRNA from 1 species